rnacentral:rRNA from 1 species
AGUGAACGCUGGCGGCGUGCCUAAUACAUGCAAGUCGAACGGAGUGGCGCACGGGUGAGUAAUAUAUAGCUAAUUUGCCCCUUGAUGGAGGUCACCAGUUAGAAAUGUCUGCUAAUACUCCUUAGCAAGGGAUGUGCCCAUAUCGUAUCAGCUUGUCGGUGGGGUAACGGCCGACCGAGGCUAUGACCCGUAACUGGUCUGAGAGGAUGAUCAGUCACAUUGGAACUGAGGCACGGUCCAAGAACCUACGGGAAGGAGCAGUAGGCAAUAGUGCGCAAUGGGGGAAUCCCUGAAAGGGCAUCGCGGCGUGGAGGAUGACACUCGGCGGAGCGGAAAGUCCUUUUAUUAGGGAAACGGUACCUAAAGAAGAAGCACCGGCUAACUCCGUGCCAGCAGCCGCGGUAAUAC